rnacentral:rRNA from 1 species
GAUGAACGCUGGCGGCGUGCCUAAUACAUGCAAGUCGAGCGAACGGACGAGAAGCUUGCUUCUCUGAUGUUAGCGGCGGACGGGUGAGUAACACGUGGAUAACCUACCUAUAAGACUGGGAUAACUUCGGGAAACCGGAGCUAAUACCGGAUAAUAUUUUGAACCGCAUGGUUCAAAAGUGAAAGACGGUCUUGCUGUCACUUAUAGAUGGAUCCGCGCUGCAUUAGCUAGUUGGUAAGGUAACGGCUUACCAAGGCAACGAUGCAUAGCCGACCUGAGAGGGUGAUCGGCCACAGUGGAACUGAGACACGGUCCAGACUACUACGGGAGGCAGCAGUAGGGAAUCUUCCGCAAUGGGCGAAAGCCUGACGGAGCAACGCCGCGUGAGUGAUGAAGGUCUUCGGAUCGUAAAACUCUGUUAUUAGGGAAGAACAUAUGUGUAAGUAACUGUGCACAUCUUGACGGUACCUAAUCAGAAAGCCACGGCUAACUACGUG